rnacentral:lncRNA from 1 species
UUAUUGUGUGGGCUCCCACUCAUUAGUUCACCAUAUCUGAAACAGCCCAUGUGGAGAUAAGAGCUUUGAACCUUUUCUUAAAAUGAAAAGACCAAUCGGCACAUGCAAACUACUCAAUUUGAAAAUAAUCGAAAAUGAUGCAGCAUUUGAACUGUGUCUCGAGAUAAAGCUCUCUGCAUCCUCGCCGUGGCUCACGUUUUCAAUUCAAAAAAUAUAUUAUCAAGUGGAAAAAACUUUAUGAUUUAUAAGUUGAAGAUCAUUUUAUCUGUUUUUAGAAUGGGAUUUGUUACAAUUUUCUCCAUUUUACAUUGAUUAUUUCACCCGCAAAACAAGAAUCCAUCUUGAUGCGAGCUUAUCUAGAUACUGAUAUCUAUCCAACCAAAACCACAUUAACUCUUUCACCCGCAAACAAAAAAAUCCACCUUAAUUUGAAGCCAACAGUAUUAGUUGUCUAAGACCGUUGAUUCUAAAGCAGUAAGUCCUCAUUGUAACUGAUAUGGGAUUGGUGGCGGCUGCAAGGAAGCUGUAACUUCAAGACUUCAGGUCAAAUCAUUUUGAAAGUAGAGACAUGAAACCACUAUCGAAAAUUCUUUCAAACUAGUAUUGAUGCCUUGGGAGGACACUUUAGUCAUGCUAUGAGAUUCUUUUUUUUUUUUUUUAAUGUUGGACCUUGGAUCAAUAUUGAGGGAUUUCAAGUCCCUGUUAAGCAUUAAGACAUCAAUUUUAUUAAUUUGGUGAAACAAUAAUUUUUUAAAAGAAAAUCUGAAUACAAACUAAUAAAGUAAGUCAUGAUUGGAAGAUCCAAACGAAAAAUGACAGAUGAAUAGAUUUGGAAUCUACCAAGGAACAGUAAUAAACAGCAAAUCUUGCCACUUGAAACAGGAUGACAAGGAGAAGAUUUCUAACCUUUUCUCUUUUUCAUUGAAAUAUUUACCGUGCAACUUGUGACCCAAAGAUUGAAUCUGCUAGGUGGUAGUUAUGGGGGUUUAAUGGAAGAGCAAAUAUAAUCACUUUGAUUCUAGUUUUUUGUCCAGUAUAAGAAAAUCUUACGAGCUUCAAAAUCUAGAUUCAAACUCCAUUAGUUGAGAGAGUUUGAUCUUAUCUUCUAACUUAUUGAUCAAGAAUGUGAGCACUCAGGACAAGGAGUGAUUAGUUCAUUG